rnacentral:rRNA from 1 species
AUUGAACGCUGGCGGCAGGCUUAACACAUGCAAGUCGAGCGAGCGGCGGACGGGUGAGUAAUGUCUGGGAAACUGCCUGAUGGAGGGGGAUAACUACUGGAAACGGUAGCUAAUACCGCAUACCAUCAGAUGUGCCCAGAUGGGAUUAGCUAGUAGGUGGGGUAAUGGCUCACCUAGGCGAAGAUCCCUCGCUGGUCUGAGAGGAUGACCACGCACCCUGGAACUGAGACCUGGCCCCGACUCCUACGGGAAGCAGCAGUGGGGAAUAUUGCACAAUGGGCGAAAGCCGUAUGCAUCAAUGCCGCGUGUGUGAUGAAGGCCUUCGGGUUGUAAAGCAAUGUCAGCGAGGAGGCGUUACUCGCAGAAGAAGCACCGGCUAACUCCGUGCCAGCAGCCGCGGUAAUUC